rnacentral:lncRNA from 1 species
UCUAUGGUCUCUAUGGGUCUCAAUGGGCAGCGCUAUGGGUCUCUAUGGGGUGUCUAUGGGGCUCUAUGGGGUGUCUAUGGGGCUCUAUGGGGUCCCUAUAGGGUCUAUGGGGCUCUAUGGGGAUCUAUGGGUGUCUAUGGGGUUCUAUGGGGCUCUAUGGGGUCUCUAUGGGGUGUCUAUGGGGCUCUAUGGGAGACAGGGGGGCAAUAUGGGGUGUCUAUGGGGCUCUAUGGGGUGUCUAUGGGUCUCUAUGGGGCUCUAUGGGUGUCUAUGGGGCUCUAUGUGGUGUCUAUGGGUCUCUAUGGGGUGUCUAUGGGGCUCUAUGGGGUGUCUAUGGGGCUCUAUGGGAUCUCUCUGGGCCGCGGAAUGGACGGAUGGUUCGUUUCAAGGCGUAAAGGCGGCCGUCAACCAGGCUGCGCACCUAUAAGUGGGGCAAUAAUUGAGGUUAUGGGGUUCUAUGGGGCUCUAUGGGACAAUAUGGGGUCUCUAUGCGGCUCUAUAGGGUCUCUAUGGGGGCAGGGGGGCAAUAUGGGGCUCUAUGGGACAAUAUGAGAUCUCUAUGAGGCUCUAUGGCAUCUCUAUGGGGGCAGGUAGGCAAUAUGGGGCUCUAUGGGACAAUAUAGGGUCUCUAUGGGGUUCUAUGGGGCUCUAUGGGGUGUCUAUGGGGCUCUAUGGGGAUCUAUGGGUCUCCAUGGGGCAGUAUGGGGUCCUUAUGAGAUCUAAGUGGGGUCUAUGGGGAUCUAUGGGGAUCUAUGGGGCCCUAUGGGACAAUAUAGGGUCUCUAUGGGGUUCUAUGGGGUCUAUGGGGUCUCUAUGGGGCUCUAUGGGGUCUCUAUGGGGCAGUAUGGGGUCCCUAUGAGGUCUCGAUGGGGUCGAUGGGGCUCUAUGGGGUGUCUAUGGGGCUCUAUGGGGUGUCUAUGGGGCUCUAUGGGUGUCUAUGGGGCUCUAUGGGGUGUCUAUGGGGCUCUAUGGGGUCUCUAUGGGGUGUCUAUGGGGCUCUAUGGGAGGCAGGGGGGCAAUAUGGGGUGUCUAUGGGGCUCUAUGGGGCUCUAUGGGGAUCUAUGGGGCUCUAUGGGGUGUCUAUGGGGCUCUAUGGGGUGUCUAUGGGGCUCUAUAGGGUGUCUAUGGGGCUCUAUGGGGUGUCUAUGGGGCUCUAUGGAGUCUCUAUAGGGUCUAUGGGGUGUCUAUGGGGAUCUAUGGGUGUCUAUGGGGUUCUAUGGGGCUCUAUGGGGUCUCUAUGGGGCUCUAUGGGGUGUCUAUGGGGCUCUAUGGGUGUCUAUGGGGCUCUAUGGGGUGUCUAUGGGGCUCUAUGGGUGUCUAUGGGGGCUCUAUGGGGUGUCUAUGGGGUUUAUGGGACUCUAGUAGGGCUUCGGUAGGGCUCGUAUGGGGUACUAUGGGAUUCUUUGGGGCCUCUAUGGGCUCUAUGGAGUUCUAUGGGGCAUAUGGGGCUCUAUGGGGUGUCUAUGGGGUUCUAUGGGACUCUAUAGGGCUCGGUAGGGCUCUAUGGGGUAUCUAUGGGAUUCUUUGGGGCUCUAUGGGGUCUCUAUGGGGC